rnacentral:rRNA from 1 species
AGUUUGAUUCUGGCUCAGAUUACUGAACGCUGGCUGGAUGCUUUACACAUGCAAGUCGAACGGCAGCACGGACUUCGGUCUGGUGGCGAGUGGCGUGAACGGUGACAAUGUAUCGGAACGUGCCUAGUAGCGGGGGAUAACUACGCGAAAGUUGCAGCUUGGAUUACCGGCAUGACACCUUCGGGGGAAAGCGGGGAACCUUCGGGCCUCGCACUAUUAGAGCGCGCUGAUAUCGGAUUAGCUGGGUUGGUGGGGGUAACGGCUCACUCAAGGCGACGAUCCGUGGCUGGUUUGAGAGGACGACCAGUAGCCACACUGGGACUGAGACACGGCCCAGACUCCUACGGAGGCAGCAGUGGGGAAUUUUGGACAAUGGGGAAACCGAUCCAGCCAUCCCGCGUGUGCGAUGAAGGCCUUCGAAGCUGUAAAGCACUUUGGUAGGAAAGAAACGGCACGUGACACACCCCGUGCAACUGACGGUACCUGCAGAAUAAGCAACGUUAACUACGCCAGCAGCCGUAAUACGUGGUGCAAGCGUUAAUCGGAAUUAUUACUGGGUGUAAGUGUGCGCAGGCGGUUCGGAAAGAAAGAUGUGAAAUCCCAGAGCUUAACUUUGAACUGCAUUUUAAUCACUGAGCUAGAGGUCAGAGGAGGUGGAAUUCCCGUGUAGCAGUGAAAUGCGUGUAGAUAAGGGUGAGGAACACCGAUGGCGAAGGCAGCCUCCUGGGGAUACUACUGAUGCUCAUGCACGAAAGCGUAGUAUAAACAGGAUGCCAGAUACCCUGUAUCCACGCUUCAAACGAUGUCAACUUAGCUGUUGGGGCCUUCGGGCCUGGUAGCGCAGUGUUAACGGUAAAGUUGACCGCCUGGGGAAGUACGGUCGCAAGAUUAAAACUCAAAGGAAUUGACGGGGACUCGCGCAAGCCGGUGCGGAUGAUGUGAUUAACGAUGCAACGCGAAAAACCUUACCUACCCUUGAUGAUAACGUAAUCCCAAGAGAUUUGGGAAGGUUUGCAAGAGAACCGGAACACAGUGCUGCAUGGCUGUCGUCAGCUCGUGUCGUGAGAUGGUUGAGUCCCGCAACGAGCGCAACCCUUGUCAUUAGUUGCUACGAAAGGGCACUCUGGACGAGAUCAGCCGGUGACAAACCGGAGAAGCGGGAUGACGUCAAGUCCUCGGCCCUGGCGGUAGGGCUUCACACGUCACAAUGGUCGGGACAGAGGGUCGCCGUCCAGGCGAGGGAGCCAAUCCCAGAAACCCGAUCAGUCCGAUCGUGCCUGCAACCUCGACUGCGUGAAGUCGGAAUCGCUAGUAAUCGCGGAUCAGCAUGCUCAGGCAAUACGUUCCCCGGUCUUGUACACACCGCCCGUCACACCAUGGGAGUGGGUUUUACCAGAAGUAGUUAGCCUAACCGUAAGGAGGGAAGAUUACCGGGUAGAUUCAUGACUGGGGUGAAGUCAACAAGGUAA